rnacentral:tRNA from 1 species
CUAAGUGGUGUAACGGCAACACGUCGAUCUGCAAAAUCGACAUUACUUGUUCAAUUCAAGUCUUAG